CUAAAAGUCUACCUACUACACACUACCACCCUGUUCAACCUUGCCUCACAACCGCCAUUCUGCUGUCUCUGUGGAAUCAGCUGGAUCCCUCACGCUGAAGCAUUCCGUGUGGGAUUGGCAUCUGUAGUCACUUGCUCUGCAGCAGCACCCCGGAACUUCCUGCUCUUUCUCUCACUGGCUCAGAGCCCCUGAGCCAACCUCUCUGGCCUCUGGUUUCCACCAUUCUACUCUCAGCAUUUUGACAGCAACAUUUUUAGAGUUAAAUGCUACCAAAAAAGGAGAAGCUGCACACUGUGGUGGACUGCUCCUCUGGACGCCCUUCAGUCGGUUCCACACUGCAGGACGCAUGAUUUCCUCUGACAGCUCCACCUGCUUUGCCAGCAGAGAAGAUGGCUGCUACAAUGUUUUCCUUCCGC